rnacentral:rRNA from 1 species
UGGUGGAGCGAUUUGUCUGGUCAAUUCCGAUAACGAACGAGACUCUAGCCUACUAAAUAGUUCGGGGACCCCCACAAAGGGGCCCCGCUUCAACUUCUUAGAUGGACAGGUGGCGUUUAGCCACACGAGAUUGAGCAAUAACA